rnacentral:rRNA from 1 species
AGUGAACGCUGGCGGUAGGCCUAACACAUGCAAGUCGAACGGCAGCACAGUAAGAGCUUGCUCUUACGGGUGGCGAGUGGCGGACGGGUGAGGAAUACAUCGGAAUCUACUUUUUCGUGGGGGAUAACGUAGGGAAACUUACGCUAAUACCGCAUACGACCUACGGGUGAAAGCAGGGGAUCUUCGGACCUUGCGCGAUUGAAUGAGCCGAUGUCGGAUUAGCUAGUUGGCGGGGUAAAGGCCCACCAAGGCGACGAUCCGUAGCUGGUCUGGGAGGAUGAUCAGCCACACUGGAACUGAGGCACGGUCCAGACUCCUACGGGAGGCAGCAGUGGGGAAUAUUGGACAACGGGCGCAAGCCUGAUCCAGCCAUACCGCGUGGGUGAAGAAGGCCUUCGGGUUGUAAAGCCCUUUUGUUGGGAAAGAAAAGCAGCAGGUUAAUACCCCGCUGUUCUGACGGUACCCAAAGAAUAAGCACCGGCUAACUUCGUG